CAUCAUGCACAUUGUCACCAUAGACAAGCUUGAAACAAACAGGAAUUCCGUGAUUAUGGAGAAGGAAUGUUGCAUCAGGACCAUGGACGCACUAAUCCAGGAAAUUCCUCUCACAGAAGUCGUCACGGAUGCCCACCUAAAUCUCUGCCUUGCUUAGUAAGGAUCCAGAGCGUGGACGCUAUAAAGAAAUUCACUACUCUCUUGACAUAUGGCAUGCCGCCAAAAAUCUUGGAAAGAAGUUACGACAGCUGGCACCAUAAAAAAAUCAGAAUCCAAUGCUAGACUGGAUGAAGGCCAGAAUUGACAUUGCUGCAAACAAGCGUUGACAGAG